rnacentral:ribozyme from 1 species
UUUUUUUUUUUUUUUUUUUUUUUUUUUGACCGAAAUGGGGCUAUGAAGGGGCAGGAAGCUC